UACGUAGGCAGCGAGCGUUGUUCGGAGUUACUGGGCGUAAAGGGUGUGUAGGCGGUUGUUCAAGUUUGGUGUGAAAUCUCCCGGCUCAACUGGGAGGGUGCGCCGAAUACUGAAUGACUUCGAGUGCGGGAGAGGAGAGUGGAAUUCCUGGUGUAGCGGUGAAAUGCGUAGAUAUCAGGAGGAACACCGGUGGUGUAGACGGCUCUCUGGACCGUAACUGACGCUGAGACACGAAAGCGUGGGUAGCAAACAGG
rnacentral:rRNA from 1 species